AAAGGGGGAAAUCCAAUGAGAAAAGAUUCUUUGGGUUUAUAUACACUAAUGUAUGUAGCAGCAGAGAGAAAUGGGGGUUGAUCCUAUAAACUUUGUGUAUCCGUAGAUCUUGAGCUGGUUCUCAAUAGCCGUGCAAAAAAUGUCCUAUUUACGUCCAGCAUUAAUUGUAUUUUUAUUCAUGUGUCCUCCAUUUGGGGCCCAAGGCACUCCAAUGUGCAUUUAAUUAUACAUAUAUUCAAAGACUGGAAUAUCCCUUUUUGAAAGGCCAGCAAUUAAUUUCAGCCUCCUAAACCACUCGCACUUUCAAGGUCCAA